GUGAGGAAUAUUGGUCAAUGGGCGAGAGCCUGAACCAGCCAAGUCGCGUGAAGGAAGAAGGAUCUAUGGUUCGUAAACUUCUUUUGCAGGGGAAUAAAGUGCAGGACGUGUCCUGUUUUGUAUGUACCCUGAGAAUAAGGAUCGGCUAACUCCGUGCCAGCAGCCGCGGUAAUACGGAGGAUCCGAGCGUUAUCCGGAUUUAUUGGGUUUAAAGGGUGCGUAGGUGGUUUGAUAAGUCAGCGGUGAAAGUUUGCAGCUUAACUGUAAAAAUGCCGUUGAAAUUGUCGGACUUGAGUGUAAAUGAGGUAAGCGGAAUGCGUGGUGUAGCGGUGAAAUGCAUAGAUAUCACGCAGAACUCCGAUUGCGAAGGCAGCUUACUAAGCUACAACUGACACUGAAGCACGAAAGCGUGGGGAUCAAACAGGAUUAGAUACCCGAGUAGUCC
rnacentral:rRNA from 1 species